GAGGAUAUAGCUCAGUGGUAGAGCUCUUGCAUACCCUGCAUGAGGUCCUGGGUUCAAUCCCCAGUACCUCCA
rnacentral:tRNA from 1 species